ACACCUGCCUGCACAGCCAGGGCCAGGAGGAGGAGAUGCCAUGACCCUCAUUCUCACAAGCCUGCUCUUCUUUGGGCUGAGCCUGGGCCCCAGGACCCGGGUGCAGGCAGAAAACCUACUCAAACCCAUCCUGUGGGCCGAGCCAGGUCCCGUGAUCACCUGGCAUAACCCCGUGACCAUCUGGUGUCAGGGCACCCUGGAGGCCCAGGGGUACCGUCUGGAUAAAGAGGGAAACUCAAUGUCGAGGCACAUAUUAAAAACACUGGAGUCUGAAAACAAGGUCAAACUCUCCAUCCCAUCCAUGAUGUGGGAACAUGCAGGGCGAUAUCACUGUUACUAUCAGAGCCCUGCAGGCUGGUCAGAGCCCAGCGACCCCCUGGAGCUGGUGGUGACAGCCUACAGCAGACCCACCCUGUCCGCACUGCCAAGCCCUGUGGUGACCUCAGGAGUGAACGUGACCCUCCGGUGUGCCUCACGGCUGGGACUGGGCAGGUUCACUCUGAUUGAGGAAGGAGACCACAGGCUCUCCUGGACCCUGAACUCACACCAACACAACCAUGGAAAGUUCCAGGCCCUGUUCCCCAUGGGCCCCCUGACCUUCAGCAACAGGGGUACAUUCAGAUGCUACGGCUAUGAAAACAACACCCCAUACGUGUGGUCGGAACCCAGUGACCCCCUGCAGCUACUGGUGUCAGGCGUGUCUAGGAAGCCCUCCCUCCUGACCCUGCAGGGCCCUGUCGUGACCCCCGGAGAGAAUCUGACCCUCCAGUGUGGCUCUGAUGUCGGCUACAUCAGAUACACUCUGUACAAGGAGGGGGCCGAUGGCCUCCCCCAGCGCCCUGGCCGGCAGCCCCAGGCUGGGCUCUCCCAGGCCAACUUCACCCUGAGCCCUGUGAGCCGCUCCUACGGGGGCCAGUACAGAUGCUACGGCGCACACAACGUCUCCUCCGAGUGGUCGGCCCCCAGUGACCCCCUGGAUAUCCUGAUCGCAGGACAGAUCCGUGGCACACCCUUCAUCUCAGUGCAGCCAGGCCCCACAGUGGCCUCAGGAGAGAACGUGACCCUGCUGUGUCAGUCAUGGCGGCAGUUCCACACUUUCCUUCUGACCAAGGCGGGAGCAGCUGAUGCCCCACUCCGUCUAAGAUCAAUACACGAAUAUCCUAAGUACCAGGCUGAAUUCCCCAUGAGUCCUGUGACCUCAGCCCACGCGGGGACCUACAGGUGCUACGGCUCACUCAACUCCGACCCCUACCUGCUGUCUCACCCCAGUGAGCCCCUGGAGCUCGUGGUCUCAGGACCCUCCAUGGGUUCCAGCCCCCCACCCACCGGUCCCAUCUCCACACCUGGCCCUGAGGACCAGCCCCUCACCCCCACUGGGUCGGAUCCCCAAAGUGGUCUGGGAAGGCACCUGGGGGUUGUGAUCGGCAUCUUGGUGGCCGUCGUCCUACUGCUCCUCCUCCUCCUCCUCCUCUUCCUCAUCCUCCGACAUCGACGUCAGGGCAAACACUGGACAUCGAGUCCAGCCCAGCUGCCGACGCCCAGGAAGAAAACCUCUAUGCUGCCGUGAAGGACACACAGCCUGAAGAUGGGGUGGAGAUGGACACUCGGGCUGCUGCAUCUGAAGCCCCCCAGGAUGUGACCUACGCCCAGCUGCACAGCUUGACCCUCAGACGGAAGGCAACUGAGCCUCCUCCAUCCCAGGAAAGGGAACCUCCAGCUGAGCCCAGCAUCUACGCCACCCUGGCCAUCCACUAGCCCGGAGGGUACGCAGACUCCACACUCAGUAGAAGGAGACUCAGGACUGCUGAAGGCACGGGAGCUGCCCCCAGUGGACACCAAUGAACCCCAGUCAGCCUGGACCCCUAACAAAGACCAUGAGGAGAUGCUGGGAACUUUGGGACUCACUUGAUUCUGCAGUCGAAAUAACUAAUAUCCCUACAUUUUUUAAUUAAAGCAACAGACUUCUCAAUAAUCAAUGAGUUAACCGAGAAAACUAAAAUCAGAAGUAAGAAUGUGCUUUAAACUGAAUCACAAUAUAAAUAUUACACAUCACACAAUGAAAUUGAAAAAGUACAAACCACAAAUGAAAAAAGUAGAAACGAAAAAAAAAAACUAGGAAAUGAAUGACGUUGGCUUUCGUAUAAGGAAUUUAGAAAAAGAAUAACCAAUUAUUCCAAAUGAAGGUGUAAGAAAGGGAAUAAGAAGAAGAAGAGUUGCUCAUGAGGAAAAACCAAAACUUGAAAAUUCAACAAAGCCAAUGAAGCUCAUUCUUGAAAAUAUUAAUUACAGUCAUAAAUCCUAACUACAUUGAGCAAGAGAAAGAAAGAGCAGGCACGCAUUUCCAUAUGGGAGUGAGCCAGCAGACAGCCCAGCAGAUCCUACACACAUUUUCACAAACUAACCCCAGAACAGGCUGCAAACCUAUACCAAUAUACUAGAAAAUGCAGAUUAAAUGGAUGAAAUAUUCAAAACUGGAGUUUACAUAAUGAACGUAAGAGUAAUCAGAGAAUCUGACUCAUUUUAAAUGUGUGUGUAUGUGUGUGUAUAUAUAUGUGUGUGUGUGUGUGUGUGUGUGUGUGUGAAAAACAUUGACUGUAAUAAAAAUGUUCCCAUCGUAUCAACUCCAGUUCAGGAAGUUUCAC
rnacentral:lncRNA from 1 species